GAUGAACGCUGGCGUCGUGCCUAAUACAUGCAAGUCGAGCGAACAGACGAGGAGCUUGCUCCUCUGACGUUAGCGGCGGACGGGUGAGUAACACGUGGAUAACCUACCUAUAAGACUGGGAUAACUUCGGGAAACCGGAGCUAAUACCGGAUAAUAUAUUGAACCGCAUGGUUCAAUAGUGAAAGACGGUUUUGCUGUCACUUAUAGAUGGAUCCGCGCCGCAUUAGCUAGUUGGUAAGGUAACGGCUUACCAAGGCAACGAUGCGUAGCCGACCUGAGAGGGUGAUCGGCCACACUGGAACUGAGACACAGUCCAGACUCCUACGGGAGGCAGCAGUAGGGAAUCUUCCGCAAUGGGCGAAAGCCUGACGGAGCAACGCCGCGUGAGUGAUGAAGGUCUUCGGAUCGUAAAACUCUGUUAUUAGGGAAGAACAAAUGUGUAAGUAACUAUGCACGUCUUGACGGUACCUAAUCAGAAAGCCACGGCUAACUACGUG
rnacentral:rRNA from 1 species